rnacentral:rRNA from 1 species
AACAUGAUCGACCUCAGAUCAGACGAGACAACCCGCUGAAUUUAAGCAUAUUACUAAGCGGAGGAAAAGAAACUAACCAGGAUUCCCCCAGUAGCUGCGAGCGAAGAGGGAAGAGCCCAGCGCUGAAUCCGCCUCCCCGGCCGCGGGAAUUGUAGCGUACGGAAGAGCGCGUUCUCCGGCGCGGUCGGGAGCCUGAGUCCUUCUGAUGGAGGCUCAGCCCAGGGACGGUGGCAGGCCGGUAACGGCCCCCGCCCGCCGGGGUCCGCUCUUCCCGGAGUCGGGUUGCUUGGGAAUGCAGCCCAAAGCGGGUGGUAAACUCCAUCUAAGGCUAAAUACCGGCACGAGACCGAUAGUCAACAAGUACCGUAAGGGAAA